UGGGGAAUAUUGCACAAUGGGCGCAAGCCUGAUGCAGCCAUGCCGCGUGUGUGAAGAAGGCCUUCGGGUUGUAAAGCACUUUCAGCGGGGAGGAAGGCGAUAAGGUUAAUAACCUUGUCGAUUGACGUUACCCGCAGAAGAAGCACCGGCUAACUCCGUGCCAGCAGCCGCGGUAAUACGGAGGGUGCAAGCGUUAAUCGGAAUUACUGGGCGUAAAGCGCACGCAGGCGGUCUGUCAAGUCGGAUGUGAAAUCCCCGGGCUUAACCCGGGAAUUGCAUCUGAUACUGGUCAGCUAGAGUCUUGUAGAGGGGGGUAGAAUUCCCUGUGUAGCGGUGAAAUGCGUAGAGAUGUGGAGGAAUACCGGUGGCGAAGGCGGCCCCCUGGACAAAGACUGACGCUCAGGUGCGAAAGCGUGGGGAGCAAACAGG
rnacentral:rRNA from 1 species